GGACUCAGCAGGAACGGCUGACAGCAGCGGAAGAAGACCUGUGAGCUGACUCUAGCAAGCACAGCCUCUGUGACUAUAUCGUAGCGAGUGGAGAAAAGUGAGACCACUGACAUAGUCGGCGGGGGCACUCGCAAAGCUGGUGGGGAGUUUGGCUGGGGCGGCACGACUACUAAAACAUAACGUAGACGUCCAAAGGUAAGCUCCGAGGGGAUGGAAACCACUCCGAGAGUAUAAGGGCAAAAGCUUGCUUUAGUUAUUAAUGUAAAUUAAUAAUACUGGAAACAGGGGCCUAGAGAUCCUCUAUGAAACUAAGCAUAGAGGUGACGGAAAAGUUACCACAGGGAUAACUGGCUUGUGGCGGCCGAGCGUCCAUAGCGACGCCGCUUUUUGAUUCUUCGAUGUCGGCUCUUCCGAGCAUGGUGGAGUAUCAGCCACCAAGUGUGUGAUUGUUCACCAACUAACAGGGAACGUGAGCUGGGUUUAGACCGUCGCGAGACAGGUUAGUUUUACCCUACUGCAUCGCGUCCGAGAGUAGGUCGGGGCAGUACGAGAGGAAGUGCCGAUCAGAACCGCUGGUGAUACUUUCGUCUGUUAAGGCGCGAAGUGUAGCUACGUUCUUCUUAUAAUAGCUGAAAGCCUCUAAGCUAGAAUGAGUACUUAAGGACGCAAAGAUAUGAAGACUACAUAUGUAAGGAUGAGGGUUGUACGAUAUAAGCUUCUGCGAGUAUUUCAGACCACUUAUUUCCUUUUUUAGAACAUGCUUGCUCGGAUACAUACAGGAAUUCCGGGGAAAGGAAAAAUUUUUUUUAU
rfam:Enterocytozoon bieneusi H348 ctg01_2805, whole genome shotgun sequence.